CAGUCGCCGCGGUAAUACGGAGGGGGCUAGCGUUGUUCGGAAUUACUGGGCGUAAAGCGCACGUAGGCGGCGAUCUAAGUCAGGGGUGAAAGCCCGGGGCUCAACCCCGGAAUAGCCUUUGAGACUGGAUUGCUAGAAUCUGGGAGAGGUGAGUGGAAUUCCGAGUGUAGAGGUGAAAUUCGUAGAUAUUCGGAAGAACACCAGUGGCGAAGGCGGCUCACUGGACCAGUAUUGACGCUGAGGUGCGAAAGCGUGGGGAGCAAACAGGAUUAGAUACCCCGGUAGUCCCUGUCUCUUAUAC
rnacentral:rRNA from 1 species